rfam:Monoraphidium neglectum strain SAG 48.87 mitochondrion, whole genome shotgun sequence.
GCGAACAUAGCUAAGUGGUUUAGCAUUGGAUUGUGGAUCCAAAGCACGUGGGUUCAAACCCCACUGUUCGCC